UUCAUUUUGUUCAUUACAUUGUGUUGAGUAGGGCAGUGUAGAUGCACAUAGAAAAUAUUUUAAACCAAGUGUUGUAAUUUUAACCAAGGUGUCCACAAUGUUUAAAAUCUGCAGAAUGUCACUAAAGAUGAUCAGUUGUGCAUAUCUACAAUGCACGUAUUAGAAUGUUUGAGACAUGUAUUAGAAUAUAUAGUAAGUGUAAGGUGUUAAGGGAUAGAACAAGCAAUGGUGAGUUUCAUUUUGUUCAUUACAUUGUGUUGAGUAGGGCAGUGUAGAUGCACAUAGGUAAUAUUUUAAACCAAGUGUUGUAAUUUUAACCAAGGUGUCCACAAUGUUUAAAAUCUGCAGAAUGUCACUAAAGAUGAUCAGUUGUGCAUAUCUACAAUGCACGUAUUAGAAUGUUUGAGACAUGUAUUAGAAUAUAUAGUAAGUGUAAGGUGUUAAGGUGGUAGGAAUUGCUGGUGCAAGUAAAUCAGACUAUAA